rnacentral:rRNA from 1 species
UACGAAGGGGGCUAGCGUUACUUGGAUUGACUGGGCGUAAAGGGCGCGUAGGCGGUUUGUACAGUCAGACGUGAAAUUCCUGGGCUCAACCUGGGGGCUGCGUUUGAUACGUGCAGACUUGAGUUCGGAAGAGGGUCGUGGAAUUCCCAGUGUAGAGGUGAAAUUCGUAGAUAUUGGGAAGAACACCGGUGGCGAAGGCGGGUCUCUGGGCCGAUACUGACGCUGAGGAGCGAAAGCGUGGGGAGCAAACAGG